rnacentral:rRNA from 1 species
UAGGGAAUCUUGGUCAAUGGACGACAGUCUGAACCAGCGACGCCGCGUGGAUGAAGAAGGCCGAAAGGUUGUAAAGUUCUUUUGCUAGGGGAGAAUAAGUGAGGGAGGGAAUGCCCUCAUGAUGACAAGGACUAGCGAAUAAGCCCCGGCCAACUACGUGCCAGCAGCCGCGGUAACACGUAGGGGGCGAGCGUUGUUCGGAAUUACUGGGCGUAAAGGGCAUGUAGGCGGCUUGGUAAGCCUGGCGUGAAAGACUGCAGCUUAACUGUAGGGAUGCGUUGGGAACUGCUUAGCUUGAGUUACGGAGAGGGAGCUGGAAUUCCUGGUGUAGGGGUGAAAUCUGUAGAUAUCAGGAAGAACACCGAUGGCGAAGGCAAGCUUCUGGUCGAUAACUGACGCUGAGGUGCGAAAGUGUGGGGAUCAAAUA